UGGGCGUUAAGUUGCAGGGUAUAGACCCGAAACCCGGUGAUCUAGCCAUGGGCAGGUUGAAGGUUGGGUAACACUAACUGGAGGACCGAACCGACUAAUGUUGAAAAAUUAGCGGAUGACCUGUGGCUGGGGGUGAAAGGCCAAUCAAACCGGGAGAUAGCUGGUUCUCCCCGAAAGCUAUUUAGGUAGCGCCUCGUGAAUUCAUCUCCGGGGGUAGAGCACUGUUUCGGCUAGGGGGCCAUCCCGGCUUACCAACCCGAUGCAAACUGCGAAUACCGGAGAAUGUUAUCACGGGAGACACACGGCGGGUGCUAACGUCCGUCGUGAAGAGGGAAACAACCCAGACCGCCAGCUAAGGUCCCAAAGUCAUGGUUAAGUGGGAAACGAUGUGGGAAGGCCCAGACAGCCAGGAUGUUGGCUUAGAAGCAGCCAUCAUUUAAAGAAAGCGUAAUAGCUCACUGGUCGAGUCGGCCUGCGCGGAAGAUGUAACGGGGCUAAACCAUGCACCGAAGCUGCGGCAGCGACACUGUGUGUUGUUGGGUAGGGGAGCGUUCUGUAAGCCUGUGAAGGUGUGUCGUGAGGCAUGCUGGAGGUAUCAGAAGUGCGAAUGCUGACAUAAGUAACGAUAAAGCGGGUGAAAAGCCCGCUCGCCGGAAGACCAAGGGUUCCUGUCCAACGUUAAUCGGGGCAGGGUGAGUCGACCCCUAAGGCGAGGCCGAAAGGCGUAGUCGAUGGGAAACGGGUUAAUAUUCCCGUACUUGGUGUUACUGCGAAGGGGGGACGGAGAAGGCUAUGUUGGCCGGGCGACGGUUGUCCCGGUUUAAGCGUGUAGGUGUGUGUUCCAGGUAAAUCCGGUUCACUUUAACACUGAGGCGUGACGACGAGGCACUACGGUGCUGAAGCAACAAAUGCCCUGCUUCCAGGAAAAGCCUCUAAGCAUCAGGUAACAUCAAAUCGUACCCCAAACCGACACAGGUGGUCAGGUAGAGAAUACCAAGGCGCUUGAGAGAACUCGGGUGAAGGAACUAGGCAAAAUGGUGCCGUAACUUCGGGAGAAGGCACGCUGACACGUAGGUGAAGUGAUUUACUCAUGGAGCUGAAGUCAGUCGAAGAUACCAGCUGGCUGCAACUGUUUAUUAAAAACACAGCACUGUGCAAACACGAAAGUGGACGUAUACGGUGUGACGCCUGCCCGGUGCCGGAAGGUUAAUUGAUGGGGUCAGCGCAAGCGAAGCUCCUGAUCGAAGCCCCGGUAAACGGCGGCCGUAACUAUAACGGUCCUAAGGUAGCGAAAUUCCUUGUCGGGUAAGUUCCGACCUGCACGAAUGGCGUAAUGAUGGCCAGGCUGUCUCCACCCGAGACUCAGUGAAAUUGAACUCGCUGUGAAGAUGCAGUGUACCCGCGGCAAGACGGAAAGACCCCGUGAACCUUUACUAUAGCUUGACACUGAACAUUGAGCCUUGAUGUGUAGGAUAGGUGGGAGGCUUUGAAGUGUGGACGCCAGUCUGCAUGGAGCCGACCUUGAAAUACCACCCUUUAAUGUUUGAUGUUCUAACGUGGACCCGUUACCCGGGUUGCGGACAGUGUCUGGUGGGUAGUUUGACUGGGGCGGUCUCCUCCUAAAGAGUAACGGAGGAGCACGAAGGUUGGCUAAUCCUGGUCGGACAUCAGGAGGUUAGUGCAAUGGCAUAAGCCAGCUUGACUGCGAGCGUGACGGCGCGAGCAGGUGCGAAAGCAGGUCAUAGUGAUCCGGUGGUUCUGAAUGGAAGGGCCAUCGCUCAACGGAUAAAAGGUACUCCGGGGAUAACAGGCUGAUACCGCCCAAGAGUUCAUAUCGACGGCGGUGUUUGGCACCUCGAUGUCGGCUCAUCACAUCCUGGGGCUGAAGUAGGUCCCAAGGGUAUGGCUGUUCGCCAUUUAAAGUGGUACGCGAGCUGGGUUUAGAACGUCGUGAGACAGUUCGGUCCCUAUCUGCCGUGGGCGCUGGAGAACUGAGGGGGGCUGCUCCUAGUACGAGAGGACCGGAGUGGACGCAUCACUGGUGUUCGGGUUGUCAUGCCAAUGGCACUGCCCGGUAGCUAAAUGCGGAAGAGAUAAGUGCUGAAAGCAUCUAAGCACGAAACUUGCCCCGAGAUGAGUUCUCCCUGAGACUUAGAGUCUCCUGAAGGAACGUUGAAGACGACGACGUUGAUAGGCCGGGUGUGUAAGCGCAGCGAUGCGUUGAGCUAACCGGUACUAAUGAACCGUGAGGCUUAACCUUACAACGCCGAAG
rnacentral:rRNA from 1 species